CUCGAUGCUCAAAGGGGAGUAUUGCUGCUUACACUCGUUCAACUGCUUCCUCCAGAGUCCAGAUUCAAGAUUCUUCAGCUCAGAAUGGGAAGGGCGGAAGGCCUUACCUUCAACCCCAAAAGCGAGCAAAAGAUCGCAGUUUUCCAAAGCGUCAAGCGUGAUCUGCAUACACCAUCGUCCCCUGCUGCUG